AGUGAACGCUGGCGGUAGGCCUAACACAUGCAAGUCGAACGGCAGCACAGUAAGAGCUUGCUCUUACGGGUGGCGAGUGGCGGACGGGUGAGGAAUACAUCGGAAUCUACUUUUUCGUGGGGGAUAACGUAGGGAAACUUACGCUAAUACCGCAUACGACCUACGGGUGAAAGCAGGGGAUCUUCGGACCUUGCGCGAUUGAAUGAGCCGAUGUCGGAUUAGCUAGUUGGCGGGGUAAAGGCCCACCAAGGCGACGAUCCGUAGCUGGUCUGAGAGGAUGAUACGCCACACUCGAACUGAGACCGCGUCCGGACGGUGACGGGAGUGGGCAGUGGGAAAGAUGGGCCGAGGGGCGCCAGCCUGAUGCAGCAAUACCGCGUGGGUGAAGGAGGCCGUCGGGUUGUAAACGCUUUUUGUGGGAAAAGAAAAGCCGCAGGUUAAUACCCCGGUUUCCCGACGGUAACAAAAGAAUAAGCACCGGCUAUCUUCGUGCCAGCAGCCGCGGUAAUAAGCGGAAAAGCACUCGUCUCAUC
rnacentral:rRNA from 1 species